GAUGAACGCUAGCGGCAGGCUUAAUACAUGCAAGUCGUGGGGCAGCAGGACUGUAGCAUUACAGUUGCUGGCGACCGGCAAACGGGUGCGGAACACGUACGCAACUUACCCUGAACUGGGGGAUAGCCCGGGGAAACCCGGAUUAAUACCCCGUAAUAUAAUGGAGUGGCAUCACUUUAUUAUUAAAGCUCCGGCGGUUCGGGAUGGGCGUGCGGCUGAUUAGGUAGUCGGUUGAGGUAACGGCUCACCAGGCCUACGAUCAGUAACUGGUGGGAGAGCACGACCAGUCACACGGGGACUGAGACACGGGCCCGACUCCUACGGGAGGCAGCAGUAAGGAAUAUUGCGCAAUGGAGGAAACUCUGACCCAGCCAUGCCGCGUGGAGGAUGAAGGCCCUCUGGGUUGUAAACUUCUUUUAUAGGGGACGAAACCUGUGUAUUCUUACGGAGUUGACGGUACCCUAGGAAUAAGCACCGGCUAACUCCGUG
rnacentral:rRNA from 1 species